GAGGGUGGCAUUUCCAGCGUGGUCCUACCUGAUCCCAUUCCGAACUCAGAAGUAAAACACGCACGGGCCGAUGAUACUCCGGUGCAUACCGGCGGGAAAGUAGGUGGCUGCCCGAU
rnacentral:rRNA from 1 species